rnacentral:rRNA from 1 species
GACGAACGCUGGCGGCGUGCUUAACACAUGCAAGUCGAACGGAAACGCCCUGCUUUUGUGGGGUGCUCGAGUGGCGAACGGGUGAGUAACACGUGUGUAACCUGCCCUUGACUUUGGGAUAACUUCAGGAAACUGGGGCUAAUACCGGAUAGGAGCUCCUGGUGCAUGGUGGGGGUUGGAAAGUUUCGGCGGUUGGGGAUGGACUCGCGGCGUAUCAGCUUGUUGGUGGGGUAGUGGCUUACCAAGGCUUUGACGGGUAGCCGGCCUGAGAGGGUGACCGGCCACAUUGGGACUGAGAUACGGCCCAGACUCCUACGGGAGGCAGCAGUGGGGAAUAGUGCACAAGGGGCGGAAGCCUGAUGCAGCAACGCCGCGUGCGGGAUGACGGCCUUCGGGUUGUAAACCGCUUUCGCCUGUGACGAAGCGUGAGUGACGGUAAUGGGUAAAGAAGCACCGGCUAACUACGUG